UUAAGCAUAUCAUUAAGCGGAGGAAAAGAAACUAACAAGGAUUCCCCCAGUAACGGCGAGUGAAGCGGGAAGAGCUCAAGCUUAAAAUCUCCAUACUUGUAUGGCGAAUUGUAGUCUAUUGAGGCUGUUGUCAGCAUCGCGAUUGGGGACAAGUCCCUUGGAAAAGGGCAGCAUAGAGGGUGAUACUCCCGUCUCUGCUCCAAUCUGCGGUGUGUACGAUACGCUUUCUUUGAGUCGAGUUGUUUGGGAAUACAGCUCAAAGUAGGUGGUAAAUUCCAUCUAAAGCUAAAUAUUGGUGCGAGACCGAUAGCGAACAAGUACCGUGAGGGAAAGAUGAAAAGAACUUUGAAAAGAGAGUUAAAGAGUACCUGAAACUGUUGAAAGGGAACCGUAUCGUUUCCAGUGUUGUAUCCUGUGCAUAUUUCAUUCGCGGAGUAAUUUGCGGGUGCCCUGUGCAUGGGUGUGACGUCAGGGUCAGUUUGUAUGCUGCGGGAGAUGGUCAGUGAGGAGGUGCGUCACUUCGGUGAAAGUUAUAUCUCGCUGUCUAGUAGCCGUGGUUGAGACUGAGGUGCCUACAACAUGCCUUAAGGUUCCGUGUUGUCUCGUGUUGGUGACUGCUUUGAUAGCUUGCUAUGUCUGUGGUUUAUUAGUGCGAUUGAUGAUGCGGAUAACUUUUGCUGUUCGGGACUCUGGCGAAAUGGAGCGAUACGACCCGUCUUGA
rnacentral:rRNA from 1 species